AUUGAACGCUGGCGGCAGGCCUAACACAUGCAAGUCGAACGAGUGGCGGACGGGUGAGUAAUGUCUGGGAAACUGCCCGAUGGAGGGGGGUAACUACUGGAAACGGUAGCUAAUACCGCAUACCAUCGGAUGUGCCCCGAUGGGCUUAGCUAGUAGGUGGGGUAACGGCUCACCUAGGCGACGAUCCCUAGCUGGUCUGAGAGGCUGCCCAGCCACACUGGAACUGAGACCCGGUCCGGACUCCUACGAGAGGCAGCAGUGGGGAAUAUUGCACAAUGGGCGCAAACCUGAUGCAGCCAUGCCGCGUGUAUGAAGAAGGCCUUCGGGUUGUAAAGUACUUUCAGCGAGGAGGCGUUACUCGCAGAAGAAGCACCGGCUAACUCCGUGCCAGCAGCCGCGGUAAUUC
rnacentral:rRNA from 1 species